UUGACUCUUAAACCCAUUGAACAUAAUGAUCCAACGCCAUUUCCCAAUUGUGAAUUCCCUGUAUUUGAAGCAGAGGAAGAUGAUGUUGAAGGGAUUCCUGACGAGAUUUCCUAACUUCUUGAGCAAGAAAAGAAGAUUACUCAGCUGCAUCUCGAGAAUCAGCAAAACAAUCCAACUAGGGCAUUACAAAUGUAAUCAAAAAAAAGAGGAGGGUGAAAAAUCAAAAGCAAAAUCAAAA
rnacentral:lncRNA from 1 species